ACCACAUCUCAGCCUCUUCCAUCUCGUUCCAGCACAACCUCAUCUUCGGCGAUCCAGAUUCAGCUCUGCUGGCUGGGAUCCGCGGCUGGUUCUCCUCCUCGUGGGCAGCACACAGCCGCCGGAGAAGCCCGUGGUGAACGAUGUCACGCUGACCUUCUCGUGGUCGUCCCCACUCUCUCAUAGAUGAUCCUGAUUUGCCUGAGUUGCUAUGUGCUUGUCACGAGCCAGCAGUCCGAGACAUCUAUUACACUGAUUAUAACACGCGGUGUUGCUACCUAAAAUGCAACAUGCAUGAGCUGGGUUGCAAGUUGUUCAUUCGGGAAGACCUCCUCAACAACUACGCUGAACAGAUGGUCAAUUACUGCACAACGGCAAUGGACAAUUGUCAUGAAGAGGCAUUGGCUACUGCGGCCUUGCUUCUGAAGGAGAAGGAUCAACAAAUAUCAGAAUUAGAGACCAAACUAUAUGCUCUAGCGUCAGAGUUGCCUACUACAGGCGAGAAGGACACAUCGAAUGACAUAAUACUCGCAAAGAAAUUACAAGAAGAGAGAUACAAAUGUAGGAGAUACUCAAUACUUUUUUGGUUCAUGAUGAUAAUAUAUGUUGCUAGAAUUUUAAUCCCCACUUUGUAAGACUAGA